AUUAAUUAUAAGCAUAAAGAAUUUUUUUUUCACGAAAAAGUAUGAGCUAACAAGUUUAAUAUUUUAGUAUAUAAAUUAUAUGUUGCAAAAUAUAAGGUGUAAAUCUUUUUAGGGGUGAUAGGCCUAUCAAGUACUUUGAUAUCUUGAUUUAUGAUAAAUAUAUUAAGUAUUAUUACAAUUUUAAAAUUCUAAGGUUUUAAAAAUAUACUAUUCAAAUUUUUUUUUGAGCAAAUGACCUAACAGUUAUUGUUAUUCAAAAGUUAAAAUUUUUUAUUAAUAUAUGUAUAUUCAAUUGUAAUAUAAUAAAUAAUGUAUAUUAGUAUAGAUAAUGUUAUUAUUAGUAUAAAAUUAAUUUUAGUUAAGGAACUCGGCAAGUAUCUUACUCAACUGUUUAUCAAAAACAUUGCCUUUAGUAAUUUUUAAAGGUUAACCCUGCUCCAUGGAACACUAAAUAGCCGCAGUACUCUGACUGUGCAAAGGUAGCAUAAUCAUUUGUUUCAUAAUUGGAAUCUAGUAUGAACGGGAAUAUGGGUAAGUUCUGUCUCGCUAUAAUUGAAUGAAAUUAUUUAAUAAGUGAAAAUACUUAUAUAUAUAAAAAAGACGAGAAGACCCUAGAAAUUUUGUACAUAUGUAAUAUAUUACAAUCUAUUUUGUUGGGGCGACAAGGUAACAAUAAACUUACUUAAAGUAAAAUUUAAACUAAUUUUAAAUAAUAAUUAAAUUACUCUAGGGAUAACAGCAUAAUGUAUAUUAAGUUUGUGACCUCGAUGUUGGACUAGGAUAGCUACUACUUAAAAGGUGAUAGUGAAGGCUCUGUUCGAGCUUUUAACUCCUACAUGAUCUGAGUUCAGACCGG
rnacentral:rRNA from 1 species